CAAACUGAUCCUGUCAGGCCAGGUGUUCAACAUCAAACUGUCCCUGUCAGGCCAGGUGUUCAACAUCAAACUGAUCUUGUCAGGCCAGGUGUUCAACAUCAAACAUCAAACUGUUCCUGUCAGGCCAGGUGUUCAACAUCAAACUUUUCCUGUCAGGCCAGGUGUUCAACAUCAAACUGAUCCUGUCAGGCCAGGUGUUCAACAUCAAACUGUCCCUGUCAGGCCAGGUGUUCAACAUCAAACUGUUCCUGUCAGGCCAGGUGUUCAACAUCAAACUGUCCCUGUCAGGCCAGGUGUUCAACAUCAAACUGUUCCUGUCAGGCCACGUGUUCAACAUCAAACAUCAAACUGUUCCUGUCAGGCCACGUGUUCAACAUCAAACAUCAAACUGUCAGGCCAGGUGUUCAACAUCAAACUGUUCCUGUCAGGCCAGGUGUUCAACAUCAAACUGUUCCUGUCAGGCCAGGUGUUCAACAUCAAACUGUUCCUGUCAGGCCAGGUGUUCAACAUCAAACUGUUCCUGUCCACCACCACCACCACCCCUCUCUCCAUCAUCAUCAUCACCACCACCACCUCUCUCUCCAUCAUCAUCAUCACCACCACCACCUCUCUCUUCAUCAUCAUCAUCACCACCACCACCUCUCUCUCCAUCAUCAUCAUCACCACCACCACCACCUCUCUCUCCAUCAUCAUCAUCACCACCACCACCACCACCUCUCUC
ensembl:lncRNA